rnacentral:rRNA from 1 species
UACGUAGGGGGCAAGCGUUAUCCGGAUUUACUGGGUGUAAAGGGAGCGUAGACGGCUUUGCAAGCCAGAUGUGAAAGCCCGGGGCUCAACCCCGGGACUGCAUUUGGAACUGUGUGGCUAGAGUGUCGGAGAGGCAGGCGGAAUUCCUAGUGUAGCGGUGAAAUGCGUAGAUAUUAGGAGGAACACCAGUUGCGAAGGCGGCUCUCUGGACUGUAACUGACACUGAGGCACGAAAGCGUGGGGAGCAAACAGG